rnacentral:rRNA from 1 species
GUGGGGAAUCUUGCGCAAUGGACGAAAGUCUGACGCAGCGACGCCGCGUGGGUGAUGAAGGCCUUCGGGUUGUAAAGCCCUGUGGGGAGAGACGAAUAAGUCGUGGCUAACAUCCACGAUGAUGACGGUAUCUCCUUAGCAAGCACCGGCUAACUCUGUGCCAGCAGCCGCGGUAAGACAGAGGGUGCAAACGUUGUUCGGAAUUACUGGGCGUAAAGCGCAUGUAGGCGGCCAAGCAGGUCGGAUGUGAAAUCCCUCGGCUCAACCAAGGAAGUGCAUUCGAAACCGCAUGGCUCGAGUCCCGGAGAGGAAGGUGGAAUUCUCGGUGUAGAGGUGAAAUUCGUAGAUAUCGAGAGGAACACCGGUGGCGAAAGCGGCCUUCUGGACGAGGACUGACGCUGAGAUGCGAAAGCGUGGGGAGCAAACAGGAUUAGAUACCCGAGUAGUCC